rnacentral:rRNA from 1 species
UACGUAGGGUGCGAGCGUUAAUCGGAAUUACUGGGCGUAAAGCGUGCGCAGGCGGCUUCUUAAGCCAGAUGUGAAAUCCCCGGGCUUAACCUGGGAAUUGCAUUUGGGACUGGGAGGCUCGAGUGUGGCAGAGGGGGGUGGAACUCCUGGUGUAGCAGUGAAAUGCGUAGAUAUCAGGAAGAACACCGAUGGCGAAGGCAGCCCCCUGGGCUAACACUGACGCUCAUGCACGAAAGCGUGGGGAGCAAACAGG